rnacentral:rRNA from 1 species
AUUGAACGCUGGCGGAAUGCUUUACACAUGCAAGUCGAACGGCAGCACGGGGCAACCUGGUGGCGAGUGGCGAACGGGUGAGUAAUAUAUCGGAACGUGCCCAAUCGUGGGGAUAACGUAGCGAAAGUUACGCUAAUACCGCAUACGAUCUACGGAUGAAAGCGGGGGAUCGCAAGACCUCGCGCGAAUGGAGCGGCCGAUAUCAGAUUAGGUAGUUGGUGGGGUAAAGGCUCACCAAGCCAACGAUCUGUAGCUGGUCUGAGAGGACGACCAGCCACACUGGAACUGAGACACGGUCCAGACUCCUACGGGAGGCAGCAGUGGGGAAUUUUGGACAAUGGGCGCAAGCCUGAUCCAGCCAUUCCGCGUGCAGGAUGAAGGCCUUCGGGUUGUAAACUGCUUUUGUACGGAACGAAACGGUCUGCCCUAAUACGGCAGGCUAAUGACGGUACCGUAAGAAUAAGCACCGGCUAACUACGUG